GUUAAACUGAUUACUAUAAUCCGAGCUUAUUAGGCCGAACUAAAAGUAUGUGCAAAACGUUUUCAAAUAGAUAUGAUUUUGUUUGAGCAAAAUCUUCUUAUUAGGCCGAAUCAGAUUUGGUCGUUGGCCCACUAGAUGAAACUCUCACCAGGAUACAUAGUUUUGAGAUAAAGAUUAUAGUUCUUUUUAUGCAAGAUUUGGUCCAAGCCUUCCCUCAGUAAUAUAGGGUCAAGGACCUUAAACUAGACAUAACGAAUUUACAUAGAAACAAUAUCGAUCAGAAACAUGUUGACAUUACAGAAGAAAACCUUAAUUAGACCUACCAACCCUUCCUGAUGAGUGACUAGUUAGGACCAAAUCAGUAAAGGUUAGGAGGAGACCAAUCAAAAUACGUGGCUAACCGGAAGUCCGCAUUGUUUUAUCGGCAAAUUCUAGUUUCAUUUUUACGUGUUUUCUAUACUUUUAGAUUCAUAUAUUUAUCGUGGUAAGGUUGGUUCAUAUUAACAUGUUGUGUUUAAAGUUUAAACACCUAACGUGCUAAUAAAACGGAAUCCAAUUCUAGGAAAAUUACGGACCAACAUUUUUUAAUUGUAUUAUUAUUUAAAUUAAUUAUUAGUGUGAAGUUUAAUUUACUUUAAUGAUGAUAUAUGAAUUAUUAGUUAUUACCAUAUUUUAUAAAAUUUACAAAACAUGAAUCUCUAUAAAGAAAACUUAUUUCAACAGUAAUACAUGAAUUAUUAAUUAUUAACAUAUUUUAAAAUUUUGUCAAAAAUAUGAAUGUUUAUAAAUAAAUUUGUACAUAUCAUAAUUAGGUUGAUCCAGUGUCAUAUUUUUUCUUUUUAAUAAUGAAUAUGAUGAUAAUACAUAAUCAAAUCACAAAUGUUAAGAGGGAUUUCAGAACAGCUUUUCAAAAUAAAAUUAUUUAUCAUGUAAAACAGAAGUAAAUGUAAAGAAAAUGAAAAAAAAUAAACAUAUCCAAUUAGGUAUUAUCAUUUCAUGUUUUUAUUUUUUAUUUGUAUUUGUUUUCGUUUAUCUCACUAUGUUAUAAGAAACUAGAGAAAAUAAAUUUAAUACUUUCACUCGUUUUGUAGUUGUUAAGUUGAAUGUCAUAUAAUCUAUCUAUCUAUCUAUUUAUAUAAAAAACUGUUUGCUCUCUCCAGGGCCCUCCACGUCAUCCUCCACGUAGGAAAGUCGUGCGUCUUGACGCCGCCACGUGUCAACCCACACGAAACGCGCCGUUUCAUUUAUUCUUCAGCUUAGUGGGCUUUUUCGGGUGUUCUGUAUCUGGGCUUUGGACUGUCGAUCUUAGUUCCUUAUCCGGCUCGAACGAACAGAAGACGCCUCUAACCCUAAUCAGCUUCAGACAAGAAACAAAGGUCCCAUCUCCGCAUCCUUCGACGGCAACUCGAUGUCGUUUCUGCUUUCUAUCACCAUCUGAAACAGUCCGAGUUAAGAGUUCAUGUUUAAUCCCAUCGAUUCGGUGUGCCCAGAAUUUCUUCCUUUAUAGAGAAGCUUUGCAAUUUGUUCUACAACAAAUUGUCUGAGUGUUUUUUACGCUCAAGCCAACCAUCUUAAGCAAAAGUUAUUGGCCGCGGAUGUGAAGCCUGAGGCUGGAUUUUCCUAAAUGCAAUUUCUGGCGCACAUAUAUACUUACUUUGACAAAGAAACAAGUGACAGUGACACCUUCUAGCCAGCUUUGGUAAUGGUGACUUAAUUAGCCUCUUCCACGAGUUCGAUCAAAUAUGGUGAUGAUAAUAAAAUAGAAACAGUAACAGUGUCAGAGAUCAACACCUAUAUGCUCAACUCUACACCUCAGAUCCAUUGCCUAUAUCUUUCCUAAUGCUUACUGUUUUCACAUUCAUUCAUUGUAGACGCCUAUAAAUACGUUGUACUUCAGGUUGUAGUGUUCUUUAUUCCUUAAAAAGGAACUUUUUAUUAGA